UACGUAGGGACCGAGCGUUGUCCGGAUUUAUUGGGCGUAAAGAGCUCGUAGGCGGUUCGGUAAGUCGGGUGUGAAAACUCUGGGCUCAACCCAGAGCCGCCACCCGAUACUGCUGUGACUCGAGUGCGGUAGGGGAGCGGGGAAUUCCUGGUGUAGCGGUGAAAUGCGCAGAUAUCAGGAAGAACACCUAUGGCGAAGGCAGCACUCUGGGACGGUACUGACGCUGAGACGCGAAAGCGUGGGGAGCGAACAGG
rnacentral:rRNA from 1 species